GGUUAAGUGAAUAAGGGCGCACGGUGGAUGCCUUGGCACUAGGAGCCGAUGAAGGACGGGACUAACACCGAUAUGCUUUGGGGAGCUGUACGUAAGCUAUGAUCCAGAGAUUUCCGAAUGGGGGAACCCAACAUCUUUAAUAGGAUGUUACGAUUGUGUGAAUACAUAGCACAUUCGAGGUAGACGCAGAGAACUGAAACAUCUAAGUACCUGCAGGAAGAGAAAGAAAAUUCGAUUCCCUGAGUAGCGGCGAGCGAAACGGGAAAAGCCCAAACCAGCAAGCUUGCUUGUUGGGGUUGUAGGACUCCAAUAUGGUAGUUCUUUCAGAUAGUCGAAUGACUUGGAAAAGUCAGUCAAAGAGGGUAAAAACCCCGUAGACGAAAUGUGGAAGACACCUAGGAGGAUCCUGAGUACGGCGGAACACGAGAAAUUCCGUCGGAAUCCGGGAGGACCAUCUCCCAAGGCUAAAUACUCCCUAGUGACCGAUAGUGAACCAGUACCGUGAGGGAAAGGUGAAAAGCACCCCGGAAGGGGAGUGAAAUAGAACCUGAAACCGUGUGCCUACAACAAGUCAAAGCCCGUUAAUGGGUGAUGGCGUGCCUUUUGUAGAAUGAACCGGCGAGUUACGAUUGCAUGCGAGGUUAAGUUGAAGAGACGGAGCCGCAGCGAAAGCGAGUCUGAAUAGGGCGUUUGAGUAUGUAGUCGUAGACCCGAAACCAUGUGAUCUACCCAUGUCCAGGUUGAAGGUGCGGUAAAACGCACUGGAGGACCGAACCCACGUACGUUGAAAAGUGCGGGGAUGAGGUGUGGGUAGCGGAGAAAUUCCAAACGAACUUGGAGAUAGCUGGUUCUCUCCGAAAUAGCUUUAGGGCUAGCCUCGGAAUUGAGAAUGAUGGAGGUAGAGCACUGUUUGGACUAGGGGCCCAUCUCGGGUUACCGAAUUCAGAUAAACUCCGAAUGCCAUUCAUUCAUAUCCGGGAGUCAGACUGUGAGUGAUAAGAUCCAUAGUCGAAAGGGAAACAGCCCAGACCACCAGCUAAGGUCCCAAAAUAUAUGUUAAGUGGAAAAGGAUGUGGGGUUGCACAGACAACUAGGAUGUUGGCUUAGAAGCAGCCACCAUUUAAAGAGUGCGUAAUAGCUCACUAGUCGAGUGACCCUGCGCCGAAAAUGUACCGGGGCUAAACAUAUUACCGAAGCUGUGGAGUACACCUUUAGGUGUAUUGGUAGGAGAGCGUUCUAAGGGCGUUGAAGGCAGAUCGUGAGGACUGCUGGAGCGCUUAGAAGUGAGAAUGCCGGUAUGAGUAGCGAAAGACAGGUGAGAAUCCUGUCCACCGAAUGACUAAGGUUUCCUGGGGAAGGCUCGUCCGCCCAGGGUUAGUCGGGACCUAAGCCGAGGCCGACAGGCGUAGGCGAUGGAUAACAGGUUGAUAUUCCUGUACCCGUUGUUUUUGUUUGAGCAAUGGAGGGACGCAGGAGGCUAAGGAAUGCAGACGAUCGGAAAUGUCUGUCCAAGCAGUAAGUCUGAAGAGGAGUCAAAUGCUUCUUUUCUUAAGGACAAGCUGUGAUGGGGAGGGAAAUAAUAGUACCGAAGUUCCUGAUGUCACACUGCCGAGAAAAGCUUCUAGUGAGAAAACAGCGGCCCGUACCGCAAACCGACACAGGUAGUCGAGGAGAGAAUCCUAAGGUGAGCGAGAGAACUCUCGUUAAGGAACUCGGCAAAAUGACCCCGUAACUUCGGGAGAAGGGGUGCUGAUCAUACGAUCAGCCGCAGUGAAUAGGCCCAAGCGACUGUUUAUCAAAAACACAGGUCUCUGCAAAAUCGUAAGAUGAAGUAUAGGGGCUGACGCCUGCCCGGUGCUGGAAGGUUAAGAGGAGUGCUUAGCGCAAGCGAAGGUACGAAUUGAAGCCCCAGUAAACGGCGGCCGUAACUAUAACGGUCCUAAGGUAGCGAAAUUCCUUGUCGGGUAAGUUCCGACCCGCACGAAAGGCGUAACGAUUUGGGCACUGUCUCAACGAGAGACUCGGUGAAAUUUUAGUACCUGUGAAGAUGCAGGUUACCCGCGACAGGACGGAAAGACCCCAUGGAGCUUUACUGUAGUUUGAUAUUGAGUGUCUGUACCGCAUGUACAGGAUAGGUAGGAGCCGUAGAAAUCGGAACGCUAGUUUCGAUGGAGGCGCUGGUGGGAUACUACCCCUGCGUUAUGGCCACUCUAACCCGCACCACUAAUCGUGGUGGGAGACAGUGUCAGAUGGGCAGUUUGACUGGGGCGGUCGCCUCCUAAAAGGUAACGGAGGCGCCCAAAGGUUCCCUCAGAAUGGUUGGAAAUCAUUCGAAGAGUGUAAAGGCAGAAGGGAGCUUGACUGCGA
rnacentral:rRNA from 1 species